GUCUAUGGUCAUAACACACUGAACACUCCUGAUCUCGUCUGAUCUCAGAAGCUAAGCAGGGCUGGGCCUGGUUAGUACUUUAAUGGGAGAAUAGCUUAUUACUAAGGAAGCGCUUGAAUUUGGACC
rnacentral:rRNA from 1 species